CAAUUAAAAGAAAUAGACAAGGGGAGGGGAAAUAAAAGAGAAGAGGGAAAAGCAGACACAAAUUUUGAACUUCAUUGUGAGGGGUACUCUUGUUUUUUUGUUUGAUUUUUUUUCAUGAUUGUUAUUUCCCCCUAU
rnacentral:ribozyme from 1 species